rnacentral:rRNA from 1 species
AACGGCGAGUGAAGAGGGAAAAGCCCAAAUUUGUAAUCUGGCUCUUUUAGAGUCCGAGUUGUAAUUUUGAGAACUGUUUUCCGUGCUGGACCAUGUACAAGUCUGUUGAAAAACAGCAUCAUUGAGGGUGACAAUCCCGUUCAUGAUAUGGACUACCAGUGCAAUGUGAUACAGUCUCUAAGAGUCGAGUUGUUUGGGAAUGCAGCUCAAAGUGGGUGGUAAAUUCCAUCUAAGGCUAAAUAUAGGUGAGAGACCGAUAGCAAACAAGUACCGUGAGGGAAAGAUGAAAAGAACUUUGGAAAGAGAGUUAACAGUACGUGAAAUUGUUAAAAGGGAAACAUUUGAAGUUAGACUUGUUAUUGUUGGUUCAACCUUUUUAAGGUGUAUUCCAAUGGUUAACAGACCAGCAUCAAUUUUUGGGUGUUGGAUAAGGGUCUUGGAAAUGUGGCAACCUUGGUUGUGUUAUAGUCCUUGACUUUGAUACAAUGCUUAAGAUUGAGGAACGCAGUAAGCUUUGUAGCAGAUCUUUUUAGAUCUCCUUACUA